CCCAUUUUCCCAGCCGCCUAGCACAAACCCUGCUUCUACAAAUCUUGCGCUGUUAGCAAGAAGGUUAGCCUGUCUUUUACUUUGUCACUUGACAACACAAAAUGGCUACUACACUUCCACGCACACCCCCUUUGUGCCUCUAGCACAACAAUCAAUUUUAAACUUUUAUUUUUAUUGAACUUUGAAUUUUUGAUUUUAGAUUAAAUGGUUUAGCCUCAUGGGCUUUGGUUGGCUGCAACAACAAUGCAUGGUUAGUACAGGAGCGGCGCCAGGGUUUCUGGCGCCCUAGGCAGAAUUCACGGGUCAGCAUUUUGUGCGCUCUCCACAAGGCGCACAGGAGCUUCCGGUUCCACUCCCAUCGCGCCGCCGAAGAAGGAUCCUCUGCCGAAAUGCCCCCGGCGACUGCGGCAAUCAUUGAGCUGCUCAAUUGCCUCCCGCUGUUUUCCGCGGCAUGUCGGCAGAAGAUCCUUCUUUGGCGGCCGAACGAGAGUGGAACCGGAAGUUCCCGUGUGCUCUGUGGGGAGCGCACAAAAUGCCACUCCUCAAAUCCUGGCGCCCUAGGCGACCGCCUAGGGUCGCCUAAUGGAAGCACCGGCUCUCGGUUAGUAUGAACAUGUAAUGUAUUAUUAUUAUUACGUUCUUUACAACAUAAUUUUAUGCUAAACAAUAGCAAUGAAAGCAUUAACAUUCCCAUUGUAAUAAUAUGAUGGGGCUGUUGUACAGCCUUAGUUACAUAGCACAACAUCAUAAUUAGUACAUAAAGUAGAUACCCUAUAGACUGUAUGAAAGGCACACUUUUUAGUUUGAUAUAUAUAUUUUGGAGUAUAUGAAUUUGACCUUGUAAUUCAGAGAUUUUCUGGACCUUUGGUAGCAGUGAAGCAAAUUUUGGAAUCGGUCAGGUCCUAAGGCAGUUCAAUUAAAGGAUUAUUUGGAAUCUCAGGACUGAUCGUAGAACUCUAUUGCCUGCAGCAGUGGUGGGAUUAAAAUGUCUGUCUUGCAAAGUGGUGGCUUUGACAUUGUGGUGGAAAAUUAACCACGCGUUGUGUUUGAAUCAGAUCAGCCUGAAGCUUCUUUAUUUCAAGCAUAUGCUGGUAGCUCUCCCGAUAACAAGGAACCGUAAAGCUUAAAACUACAGUUACACACCCAUUUUCCAAAUCUUAUUAGUAACUUAGAAGUUUAUCAAAAACAAGCCUCAUUAAGAAUAUAGCAAAAGAAGCUUUUCCUGUUAUUCACAGGUUGUACUCUUGCAGUUACUGGCUUUUCUAACAUUCGUUCUCCUUUGGCAAGUUUCUUUCUUGUCCCCCUUCUCCAACCCUCCUACUCACUUAUGCAGUUAGCUUACCUUGUAUAAAUAGAAGCCUGGGAGAAAGAGGAGGCCUACUGAAGUUUUCUCUUACAACAUACACGCAGCUAUUAUUAGCUUGGAAAGGCCGGUGUUCUGUAGGGUCGUUUUUUGUCCCAUACCCUUCCAACAAACGUUGUCAUGAACAGUGACAACUUCCCCUGGCUUCAGCUGUUGUACACGCUGAAGCUGUGGGGGUUCUAAAGGCCAAAGUGUCCACUGAUUCCCUAUUUUUAUUUAAAUGUCGGGGGUUCUUCCAGGAGCGCUGACUACAAAUCGGUUAGGCAUACCAGGUAGUUGAAUUUCCCAAAUGUUUUGGUGAAUUAUUUAAUCCCACAUGCAUUCUUCCCAUGGACCCAGCAGGAUACGGUAUGUGGGAACCCACAUCCCUCCAAUCGGUCCGUAUGCUUGGAAGGAGCACUGCGAAUGCCUGCACUUCCACCCAGAAAGUCUUCAUGGCCACAGAUCAGAUGAUACUCCUAAAGUGUCUGUAAGGGCUGUAGGCAAAGCAUGAUGCUCCAGAUCACUCUGAAUGGCCAUGAGCUGGUCAUUCAGGAAAUCCUGAAUUUCUGAACAAGCCAGAUCUCACCGCAAUGCCUUCCCAGCCUGAGUGAUAUUUAGCACCGUCGUCAUCAGAAGUUUCUCGGUCAUUGAACUAAGUGCAGAGAUAACAAGUAAUUCACUAACUCCAGCCUGUACCUGGGUUAGCUGUGCUACAGUGAGAAGACCUGUGGCCUUUUCCAAUUGUCCUUUUUGCAGUGAGAAGCACGGGUCCAGGCAGUCAGUUCUUGGCACUUUACAGCAGUGUUGGCAGUCAGCAGGACUUGAUAAGGACCUUUCCAGCAUGGAGCCAGGGCAGUCUUUCGCUGAUGGACCUUCAUGUAGACCCAGUUUUCUGGUUUCAGCGAGUGACAAGGUUGUUCAGGUAUUAUCAUUAUUGUCGAUUAAAAAAAGGUAGAAAGGCUUGCCCCAACUGUUUAUCUUUGGAGCCUUACCUGGAGUAAGGGAGAUUCCCUGCCCGGGUGUGUUGUUCUCUUCUUGCAAUUGCUUAAGAAUAAACUGUCUCUGAUUUGUUACAACCAACCUAAAAGUAAAAACUCUGUCAUCUUCCACAAUUAUUGGGGCCGUGACUCGGAUGGUAACGCCCGGCUGAGACAGCGGCAGCUACUGCAGACGGUUCUCCUUCGAACCCCAAGGCGCCAAUCAAAAGGUAAGAGACCUUCUGAAAUCUGUAAUGGGAUAUCUAAGGUGGACUGCCCAUAGAACCAUCUGUCCCUUUUGGGCUCAUGCCAUCUGAACUUAUUGAUUUUGUAACAAAAUCAAAUGCAGAGAGGUACUGAGGAACUGUUGCCGCCCUCAAGAAGAUUAGUUUGAAGUGAUCAGGGCUGGCUCUAGCUUUUAUGCCACCCCAAGUAUAAAGUGCCGCCCCAGGCACGUGCUUCCUUGUCUGAUGCCUGCAGCCGGCCCUGGAAGUGGUACUGAGGAUUUAGUUUUCCCUGAUGUGAAACAAGGCCUGAUCUGAGUCAAUUACAUGGAAGCUGCUUAACCCUUUCUUCUCACGUGUCACAGAAGUUUAGAUGCUGUGUGGAUUCUCUCAAGGUUAAUGAGGUCUGAUCUACAUGUUAAACUUUUUCCACAGUCCAAGCACUUACAGAGUCACUCUCCUGUGUGGAUGUACUGUUGUUUAACCAGGGCUGAUCGCUGUCU